CGGGGGACGAUACGGCGUCGAGCGGCGGACGGGUGAGUAAUGCCUAGGAAAUUGCCCUGAUGUGGGGGAUAACCAUUGGAAACGAUGGCUAAUACCGCAUGAUGCCUACGGGCCAAAGAGGGGGACCUUCGGGCCUCUCGCGUCAGGAUAUGCCUAGGUGGGAUUAGCUAGUUGGUGAGGUAAGGGCUCACCAAGGCGACGAUCCCUAGCUGGUCUGAGAGGAUGAUCAGCCACACUGGAACUGAGACACGGUCCAGACUCCUACGGGAGGCAGCAGUGGGGAAUAUUGCACAAUGGGCGCAAGCCUGAUGCAGCCAUGCCGCGUGUGUGAAGAAGGCCUUCGGGUUGUAAAGCACUUUCAGUCGUGAGGAAGGUAGUGUAGUUAAUAGCUGCAUUAUUUGACGUUAGCGACAGAAGAAGCACCGGCUAACUCCGUGCCAGCAGCCGCGGUAAUACGGAGGGUGCGAGCGUUAAUCGGAAUUACUGGGCGUAAAGCGCAUGCAGGUGGUUUGUUAAGUCAGAUGUGAAAGCCCGGGGCUCAACCUCGGAAUUGCAUUUGAAACUGGCAGACUAGAGUACUGUAGAGGGGGGUAGAAUUUCAGGUGUAGCG
rnacentral:rRNA from 1 species